rnacentral:snRNA from 1 species
GGAUGAGAGGGCAAGCUGUCCUGACAUGUCACCCACAGAUCCUCAGGUUUGCUCAGGUGAUCUGGCUGGCUGGCUGGCAGCCCCAUCCCUCAUGGCCUCUGCUGCUCUCUCUCAAAGUUGUACAUAUAUUGGAAUUGGAAUACAAUGAUACUUCCAGGAAGCGGAGAGCCAUUCUUUUGUCAAGAAUUUACUAGUAGCUGACUAGAAUAUUUCAUUUAACCUCAAGAAAUUACAACAAUGCAUGUUACACCAUACACAAAAAUUAACUCAAAAUAGAUCACAGACCUA